GAACUUAGCUUGCUAAGUUUGAUGGCGACCGGCGCACGGGUGAGUAACACGUAUCCAACUUUCCGUUUACUCAGGGAUAGCCUUUCGAAAGAAAGAUUACUACCUGAUAGUAUGGUGAGAUUGCAUGAUAACACCAUUAAAGAUUUAUUGGUAAACGAUGGGGAUGCGUUCCAUUAGGUAGUAGGCGGGGUAACGGCCCACCUAGCCUGCGAUGGAUAGGGGUUCUGAGAGGAAGGUCCCCCACAUUGGAACUGAGACACGGUCCAAACUCCUACGGGAGGCAGCAGUGAGGAAUAUUGGUCAAUGGGCGAGAGCCUGAACCAGCCAAGUAGCGUGAAGGAUGAAGGUCCUACGGAUUGUAAACUUCUUUUAUACGGGAAUAAAGUUUCCUACGUGUAGGAUUUUGUAUGUACCGUAUGAAUAAGCAUCGGCUAACUCCGUGCCAGCAGCCGCGGUAAUACGGAGGAUGCGAGCGUUAUCCGGAUUUAUUGGGUUUAAAGGGAGCGCAGACGGGAGAUUAAGUCAGUUGUGAAAGUUUGCGGCUCAACCGUAAAAUUGCAGUUGAUACUGGUUUCCUUGAGUGCAGUUGAGGCAGGCGGAAUUCGUGGUGUAGCGGUGAAAUGCUUAGAUAUCACGAAGAACUCCGAUUG
rnacentral:rRNA from 1 species